rnacentral:lncRNA from 1 species
CUUUGAGCCUAUCGUGAUGAGCCUGAAUUGAACCACAUCUUGUCAAACAUGGAGGACUCUCCAUCUCACACCCAGUACAUAGGACCCGACGAUGUAACUAUGAAAGGAGAGAUAGCAGAGAUGAACAGCCAACACUAGCUCAGGACAACUAAGCACCUGACAGCCCACAGGAGAGUAAGAAAUGGGAAUACCUCCAUAUAACCUGUCAUGGACUUGGUAUCCU